GACAGAGGGUGCAAACGUUGUUCGGAAUUACUGGGCGUAAAGCGUGUGUAGGCGGUCCGAAAAGUCGGAUGUGAAAGCCCGGGGCUCAACCCCGGAAGUGCACUCGAUACUGUCGGACUUGAGUAUCGGAGAGGUUGGUGGAAUUCUCGGUGUAGAGGUGAAAUUCGUAGAUAUCGAGAGGAACACCGGUGGCGAAGGCGGCCAACUGGACGAAUACUGACGCUGAGACACGAAAGCGUGGGGAGCAAAC
rnacentral:rRNA from 1 species